rnacentral:pre_miRNA from 1 species
ACAGGUGGGCGUGAGCAUGAUGGAGAAGCAGGGCACGUGCAUUACUAACUCGUGGGUUUUGCUCCGGAUCGAGUUAGUGGUUCAUGUGCCCAUCUUCCCCAUCGUGAAACCGUUGCACUUUACUCUGU